rnacentral:tRNA from 1 species
GGCCUGGUAGUUCAGUUGUUAGAAUGCCAGCCUGUCAGUUGGUUAGAAUGCCAGCCUGUCACGCUGGAGGUCGAGGGUUCGAGCCCCUUCCAGGUCGCCA